rnacentral:rRNA from 1 species
GUUUGACCUCAAAUCAGGUAGGAUUACCCGCUGAACUU